ACGAACGCUGGCGGCGUGCUUAACACAUGCAAGUCGAGCGGUAAGGCCCUUCGGGGUACACGAGCGGCGAACGGGUGAGUAACACGUGGGUAACCUGCCCUGUACUCCGGGAUAAGCCUGGGAAACUAGGUCUAAUACCGGAUACGACCCCAGAAGGCAUCUUGUGGGGUGGAAAGUUCCGGCGGUAUGGGAUGGACCCGCGGCCUAUCAGCUUGUUGGUGGGGUGAUGGCCUACCAAGGCGACGACGGGUAGCCG
rnacentral:rRNA from 1 species